UUAGCAAUAAAGCAAUAUUGAAGUUAAAAUCGUGAAGAUGAAAAAUGUGCCUAAUCAUUAGCUUCUUGAAAACAUUGUAACCGUGUUCUUGGGUAAUUAAUCAAUACAACAAUCUCCUGCUGACAAAAGAAAAAUAACCAUUACAUGAAACAAUCUCCUUCUGACAAAAGAAAAAAUAACCAUGAUAGAACAAGCUGAAAAUCUUAUAAAAGAAAAAAAUGCAAGUAACUGAGCUUUAUGUUUCUUUUCAAUGGAGCCAUUCCAUCCUACCUCACUCUCCAGCCAAACGUACUUAUCU
rnacentral:lncRNA from 1 species